rnacentral:rRNA from 1 species
AACGUAGGUCACGAGCGUUAUCCGGAUUUACUGGGCGUAAAGCGCGUGCAGGCGGUCAGGUAAGUCGGGCGUGAAAUCUCUCGGCUCAACCGGGAGGGGUCGUCCGAAACUACCAGACUAGAGGGCAGUAGAGGGAGGUGGAAUUCCCGGUGUAGUGGUGAAAUGCGUAGAGAUCGGGAGGAACACCUGUGGCGAAGGCGGCCUCCUGGGCUGCCCCUGACGCUCAGACGCGAAAGCUAGGGGAGCGAACGGG